UUCAUGCUGGUCAGCUUGCAAGUGCUCUUUGAAAAUGCAGUUUGUUGGCCUCAAGUUGCAUGGAUCAGCUGAACACAACCCAGGAACGUAGUGCAUGUUCUUUCAAAAUUGAAGGUCUGAAUUCUGGUCUAACGGGUCUUUAAUAUGCAUAAGUUAUGCUGUCUCUUUAGUAAGAAAAGGAGAACAUAUGAAAGAAUCUCUGGAGAGCAGUGAUGAGUUUGAGUUUGAAGUAGGAACGGGAGCAGUGAUUCCCCAGGUUGAAGCAUGCGUAACUCAGAUGUCAAUGAACCAGUCUGUUCAUUUUAAUACUGAGCUUCCUCUUCAUGGAUUUAUUUUUGCUGCAGCUGGUGAUGCUGCAAAGUCUAUUUCACUGUUAUCUAUGGGGGCGUGCUUCUUUGGAGUAUUCUAUAUCUUUGCUGCGUGUGACGGAACCCUUGGAAGAUAUAGAAUGGAGCAGGCUCUGUUCAGCCCUCCUCUUUCGAAGCACUGAGUGGAAUACACAUUGAGACACAUCAAUGAAUCCCGUGCUUCUACUUUGGUUGACUUUGUGUGGGUCUGGCAGUCUAUUGGAUUCUCUAUUGGAUAUUUCCACCUCCCUGGAAAAAAUUGUUGGUGUUGACAUUUCAAGGAAGAGUCUAAGUCGUGGAACAAAGGCACUCCAUUCGAAACCAAGUGAAAAUUCUGACCCUGCUAAACCAAGUAGAGGCAUAAAAUCUGCCUCGCUAUAUGAUGAUUCCAUCACAGUGUUCGUCUCUCGUCUUAGUGAAUUUGACAUUG